UACGAAGGGUGCAAGCGUUACUCGGAAUUACUGGGCGUAAAGCGUGCGCAGGCGGUUGGGUAAGACAGAUGUGAAAUCCCCGGGCUCAACCUGGGAACUGCAUUUGUGACUGCACGGCUGGAGUGCGGCAGAGGGGGAUGGAAUUCCGCGUGUAGCAGUGAAAUGCGUAGAUAUGCGGAGGAAAACCGAUGGCGAAGGCAAUCCCCUGGGCCUGCACUGACGCUCAUGCACGAAAGCGUGGGGAGCAAACAGG
rnacentral:rRNA from 1 species